UCCGUAGGUGAACCUGCGGAAGAGAUCAUUA
rnacentral:rRNA from 1 species